rnacentral:misc_RNA from 1 species
GAUGAAGAACGCAGCGAAAUGCGAUAAGUAAUGUGAAUUGCAGAAUUCAGUGAAUCAUCGAAUCUUUGAACGCACCUUGCGCCCUUUGGCUAUUCCAGAGGGCAUGCCUGUUUGAGUAUCAUGAACACCUCAACUCUCAUGGUCUGCCAUGAUGAGCUUGGACUUUGGAGGUCUGCUGGCCUGUGGUCAGCUCCUCUCAAAUGAAUCAGCUUUCCGGUGUUUGGUGGCAUCAUGGGUGUGAUAAAUAUCUACGCUUGUGGUUUUCCACCAGGUAACCUUCAGUGAUGGGGGUUCGCUGGGGCUCAUAAAUGUCUCUCCUCAGCGAAGACAGCUUUGUGAAUGUUUGAUCUCAAAUCAGGUAGGACUACCCGCUGAACUUAAGCAUAUCAAUAAGCGGAGGA